rnacentral:rRNA from 1 species
UACGUAGGGACCAAGCGUUGUUCGGAUUUACUGGGCGUAAAGGGCGCGUAGGCGGCGUGACAAGUCACUUGUGAAAUCUCUGAGCUUAACUCAGAACGGCCAAGUGAUACUGUUGUGCUAGAGUGCAGAAAGGGCAAUCGGAAUUCUUGGUGUAGCGGUGAAAUGCGUAGAUAUCAAGAGGAACACCUGAGGCGAAGGCGGGUUGCUAGGCUGACACUGACGCUGAGGCGCGAAAGCUAGGGUAGCAAACGGG